CGGGACACGUGGUAUCCUGUCUGAAUAUGGGGGGACCAUCCUCCAAGGCUAAAUACUCCUGACUGACCGAUAGUGAACCAGUACCGUGAGGGAAAGGCGAAAAGAACCCCGGCGAGGGGAGUGAAAAAGAACCUGAAACCGUGUACGUACAAGCAGUGGGAGCACGCUUAGGCGUGUGACUGCGUACCUUUUGUAUAAUGGGUCAGCGACUUAUAUUCUGUAGCAAGGUUAACCGAAUAGGGGAGCCGAAGGGAAACCGAGUCUUAACUGGGCGUUAAGUUGCAGGGUAUAGACCCGAAACCCGGUGAUCUAGCCAUGGGCAGGUUGAAGGUUGGGUAACACUAACUGGAGGACCGAACCGACUAAUGUUGAAAAAUUAGCGGAUGACUUGUGGCUGGGGGUGAAAGGCCAAUCAAACCGGGAGAUAGCUGGUUCUCCCCGAAAGCUAUUUAGGUAGCGCCUCGUGAAUUCAUCUCCGGGGGUAGAGCACUGUUUCGGCAAGGGGGUCAUCCCGACUUACCAACCCGAUGCAAACUGCGAAUACCGGAGAAUGUUAUCACGGGAGACACACGGCGGGUGCUAACGUCCGUCGUGAAGAGGGAAACAACCCAGACCGCCAGCUAAGGUCCCAAAGUCAUGGUUAAGUGGGAAACGAUGUGGGAAGGCCCAGACAGCCAGGAUGUUGGCUUAGAAGCAGCCAUCAUUUAAAGAAAGCGUAAUAGCUCACUGGUCGAGUCGGCCUGCGCGGAAGAUGUAACGGGGCUAAACCAUGCACCGAAGCUGCGGCAGCGACGCUGAUGCGUUGUUGGGUAGGGGAGCGUUCUGUAAGCCUGUGAAGGUGUGCUGUGAGGCAUGCUGGAGGUAUCAGAAGUGCGAAUGCUGACAUAAGUAACGAUAAAGCGGGUGAAAAGCCCGCUCGCCGGAAGACCAAGGGUUCCUGUCCAACGUUAAUCGGGGCAGGGUGAGUCGACCCCUAAGGCGAGGCCGAAAGGCGUAGUCGAUGGGAAACAGGUUAAUAUUCCUGUACUUGGUGUUACUGCGAAGGGGGGACGGAGAAGGCUAUGUUGGCCGGGCGACGGUUGUCCCGGUUUAAGCGUGUAGGCUGGUUUUCCAGGCAAAUCCGGAAAAUCAAGGCUGAGGCGUGAUGACGAGGCACUACGGUGCUGAAGCAACAAAUGCCCUGCUUCCAGGAAAAGCCUCUAAGCAUCAGGUAACAUCAAAUCGUACCCCAAACCGACACAGGUGGUCAGGUAGAGAAUACCAAGGCGCUUGAGAGAACUCGGGUGAAGGAACUAGGCAAAAUGGUGCCGUAACUUCGGGAGAAGGCACGCUGAUAUGUAGGUGAAGCGACUUGCUCGUGGAGCUGAAAUCAGUCGAAGAUACCAGCUGGCUGCAACUGUUUAUUAAAAACACAGCACUGUGCAAACACGAAAGUGGACGUAUACGGUGUGACGCCUGCCCGGUGCCGGAAGGUUAAUUGAUGGGGUCAGCGCAAGCGAAGCUCUUGAUCGAAGCCCCGGUAAACGGCGGCCGUAACUAUAACGGUCCUAAGGUAGCGAAAUUCCUUGUCGGGUAAGUUCCGACCUGCACGAAUGGCGUAAUGAUGGCCAGGCUGUCUCCACCCGAGACUCAGUGAAAUUGAACUCGCUGUGAAGAUGCAGUGUACCCGCGGCAAGACGGAAAGACCCCGUGAACCUUUACUAUAGCUUGACACUGAACAUUGAGCCUUGAUGUGUAGGAUAGGUGGGAGGCUUUGAAGUGUGGACGCCAGUCUGCAUGGAGCCGGCCUUGAAAUACCACCCUUUAAUGUUUGAUGUUCUAACGUUGACCCGUGAUCCGGGUUGCGGACAGU
rnacentral:rRNA from 1 species